AUUGAACGCUGGCGGCGUGCCUAACACAUGCAAGUCGAGCGGACACAGGACGCAAUUUCUCGACUGACGUCAACGGCGGAAGUAAGAGAACCACAUGGGUAACCUAGCUGUAGAACUGUACUAGCUUCGGGAACUAGUAGCUCAUACCAGCUAAUAUUUAGAACGGCAUGGUUCAAGACUGCACGAGGGUUUUGCUGUCGAUGACAGAUUGGUCCGCGCCGGAUUAGCUAGUUGGUAAGGUAACGGCUUACCAAGGCGACGAUGCGUAGCCGCACUGAGAGGAUGAUCAGCCACACUGGGACUGAGACACGGUCCAGACUCCUACGGGAGGCAGCAGUAGGGAAUCUUCCGCAAUGGGCGAAAGCCUGACGGAGCAACGCCGCGUGAGUGAUGAAGGUCUUCGGGUCGUAAACCGCUGUUAUUAGGGAAGAAAAAAUGUUUAAGUAACUCUGCACGUCUUGACGGUACCGUAACAGAAAGCCCCGGCUAACUACGUG
rnacentral:rRNA from 1 species